rnacentral:rRNA from 1 species
GAUGAACGCUGGCGGCGUGCCUAAUACAUGCAAGUCGAGCGAACGGACGAGAAGCUUGCUUUUCUGAUGUUAGCGGCGGACGGGUGAGUAACACGUGGAUAACCUACCUAUAAGACUGGGAUAACUUCGGGAAACCGGAGCUGAUACCGGAUAAUAUUUUGAACCGCAUGGUUCAAAAGUGAAAGACGGUCUUGCUGUCACUUAUAGAUGGAUCCGCGCUGCAUUAGCUAGUUGGUAAGGUAACGGCUUACCAAGGCAACGAUGCAUAGCCGACCUGAGAGGGUGAUCGGCCACACUGGAACUGAGACACGGUCCAGACUCCUACGGGAGGCAGCAGCAGGGAAUCUUCCGCAAUGGGCGAAAGCCUGACGGAGCAACGCCGCGUGAGUGAUGAAGGUCUUCGGAUCGUAAAACUCUGUUAUUAGGGAAGAACAUAUGUGUAAGUAACUGUGCACAUCUUGACGGUACCUAAUCAGAAAGCCACGGCUAACUACGUG